UACGUAGGGUGCGAGCGUUGUCCGGAAUUACUGGGCGUAAAGCGCUCGUAGGUGGUUUGUCGCGUUGUUCGUGAAAACUCACAACUCAAUUGUGGGCGUGCGGGCGAUACGGGCAGACUGGAGUACUGCAGGGGAGACUGGAAUUCCUGGUGUAGCGGUGGAAUGCGCAGAUAUCAGGAGGAACACCGGUGGCGAAGGCGGGUCUCUGGGCAGUAACUGACGCUGAGGAGCGAAAGCGUGGGGAGCGAACAGG
rnacentral:rRNA from 1 species